rnacentral:rRNA from 1 species
AUGCGCCGCCGCCGCGCGCCGCCACCCCUCGCCCCGCCGUCGCGUGCCGCCAGCCCACUUCCCCUUCCUACGCAUGCUGCUGUGAGGUACGAGGCGGAGGACGGAGCGGCGACACACGCGCUAGGGAUGCAGAGGACAGGCACAACGGCGACGCAAGGUGGUGGUCAUGGCGGUGAUGCGCCUAUCAUCUUACAUGUCAAGCACCAAACCGACACCGCGGCUUCUGCUGCUGGUGCUAGUGUGGAUGUUAGCAAGUUCAACUACCAGCCUACGCCGAGUUUAGGUACAUUGUCGUGGACGGCCAAGUUCAGGGAUGCCUCUGUGCCUAAGGGGAAUUAA